UGGGGAAUAUUGCACAAUGGGCGCAAGCCUGAUGCAGCCAUGCCGCGUGUGUGAAGAAGGCCUUCGGGUUGUAAAGCACUUUCAGCGAGGAGGAAGGUGGUGAGCUUAAUACGCUCAUCAAUUGACGUUACUCGCAGAAGAAGCACCGGCUAACUCCGUGCCAGCAGCCGCGGUAAUACGGAGGGUGCAAGCGUUAAUCGGAAUUACUGGGCGUAAAGCGCACGCAGGCGGUUUGUUAAGUCAGAUGUGAAAUCCCCGGGCUCAACCUGGGAACUGCAUUUGAAACUGGCAAGCUAGAGUCUCGUAGAGGGGGGUAGAAUUCCAGGUGUAGCGGUGAAAUGCGUAGAGAUCUGGAGGAAUACCGGUGGCGAAGGCGGCCCCCUGGACGAAGACUGAUGCUCAGGUGCGAAAGCGUGGGGAGCAAAUUUUCAGGAUUAGAUACCCUGGUAGUCCACGCUGUAAACGAUGUCGAUUUUGGAGGUUGUGCCCUUGAGGCGUGGCUUCCGGAGCUAACGCGUUAAA
rnacentral:rRNA from 1 species